UGGUUGAUACAUUGUGUCCUUUUCUGACUCCAAACUAUGAAUUAACCCUUUUCCAAGCCGUGGAACCUCGCAGACUUGACACGGAUGCUAUAGCGAGUGAGGAAACAUGGUCCUUGAAACUGUGGAUACGAAAUCUCCAUUUUGGACCCCGUAUCCACGGAUUCACCAAUCUUCACUGAAACAACACGGUCAGUGAUUUAAUGGGCUCUGGUAUUUUUGUUUUUCCUACUCCCUCACCUGGAAAUGGGAAACAGAAAAUGCAAUAGGACUAGCCCUGAGUCAACAACACACCACAAGGCUUCUAAACAACUGAAAAUUGAUGAACUCUUCGGGGAAGGAACUGUGAGUAUAUUUCACUUAAACACCCUGUUUGAAACUACAACUGACAACAAUGCUACUCCCUUAAUUCUUCAUGAUAAAGCUAACGAGCCUCUAUCAGUAGCCUUUGACAACAACUUGGCUGCAUAUCAUGAAGGUUUAUCCUUGGAGUCAAUUGAAACAGAUGCAGUAGAAGAGAACCCCCUCAUUACCGAGAUAAGACAACAUACAGGGCAAACAAUUACCACAGACUUUGUGAUGAACCAAUGUCUUCUUACCGCCCACACUGUUGUUUCUAUCUUUGAAAGGCUAGAAAAAAUAGUAGGACAGUUGGAGCUUCUCAAAAUUGCUGUUGACCGCUUCACUCAGAAAAGUAUACCUUUAAAAGAAAGUUCAGCUAAGGAUAACAGCACGUGGGCCAGAGAGGAGGAUAAUAUAGUGCACCAAAACACCUCUGAAUUACCUACUAAGGAGCUACAAAUGUAGUGGACCAACACCAUUUUCUUCCUUGUCUAAUUCUAACUGCCACCUCACUUUUUGCUGAACAGAUCCCUAACGCCUCCAAAUUUUAACUUUUUGUCCUAUCCAAAGACCCCUGUGGAUAUCUAUGAGCCUUCCAUGGAUUCGUGGUUCCACUAAACUUCUAUGUGUUUUCCUUUGUCUCUGGGUGCAUCGCCUCAAAAUGGUGCCUGGAUAGUGCCUGCUGAUCCCAGGUCUUGUGUCUUCUCUGAACCCCCGGUUCUCAUCAAUGACUUGGCUACUUUUAUGAAUGAAACUGGGUUUUUUUUAUGAAUGAACUUUGACUUUUAUUAAUGGACUUUGGCUAAAUCGGUGCCUCAUUGAACCUUGUAUGACUCCUUAUGAAUUCUCAGGUGACAGGGACCCCUUUUUCCCCAUCCUGCAAGUUCCUCAUGUAUCCUCGUGCUGUCCUCUUAGUCUUAGAGAUCCCCACAAGUUCCUUGCCUUCCCAGGAACUGACAGGGACACCUGAAGAACCCUUUUCCCCUCAAAGGCAACCUAACUUCCACCUGGUACGGGUCCUCAGGUUGCUCCUUGAUCCCCAUUCUGUAUGUUCCCCAAAACUCCAUAUUGGGAGGCCUCUGCUCCUAUGGGUACCCCUACCCUCUAUGGACUCCUUAUGUGUGCACAUUAUCUAUUAUUUCUUUCUAUGAUUGUAUGUAUUAAUGUAUACAUAUGAAGCAGGGUGACCCCGUUGUGAACUCUUGACCAGUAAUUCUAAGAUCUGAGUGCCCUAGGUUGCCUCAGAUAAUCAUCUUUGUCAAAGGGACUUCAAUGCAUCCAACACAGUAGACAAUAGACUGUUAGCUCUCCUCCCCAAGCCUCAGAGGGUCAAAGACCAGGCCACUUGGGAAGUUGAAAGCUCUUGGACAUGUUAAUCAUUUUUCAGAAAGGACAUUUCCUCUCUGUAGGGAGCAGGGAAUGUUACAGUCUUCCCCACAAUGACAUUUCCCCUUCCCAGGAACUAAGAUCAUCUGAUCCCACCAAGAUAUUUGGAUUGCUGCUAUUUGGACAAUGGAACUAACACUGGCAUGUCAGACCCACUCAAGGGAAAAUGUUAUUUCAAAUCUUCAUGUAAAUAGACAGAUUGGGCUGGAUGGCUUCCAGCUAUUGCCUGACCACUUUGACAAAAGGGCCCAGCAAGGGCUAACCACAACCCUAUCAUUAUGUCAACAUUCCUCUUUGUUUUACUGUUGCCACACCUCCACUAUCACCAUUGGCCAGCAGGGAGGCAGUGUCACAAAUAAGGUUCAUGCUCUCAUUGGAUGAGGCACAUGAGCCCCCUAGCCGCUCCUCCUAGGGUGCUGAUGUAAGAAGCGCCUUGACCAAUCAGUGCCAAACUGGCUCAGGGGGCGGGAGCAGGACUUUCAAACUGGAAAACUGUAUAAAAAGUGUAUUUCUCUGUAUUUUGGUGUGCCGGCUUAUUCAGCAGAUUACUGCGGUCAUCCUUUCCAGCUGGAACAGAAGUAAACUUUGGUGGCUUUGCUUCAUCCUGGUGUGCAUUGUGGAGCUGAUGACCUUUUUGAACGUUACGGAAACCAGAGUUUUCCUGGACAAGUUUGAAAAGCUAGACAUGUCAGGCCUCCGAACCCGUGGCUCUUGUGGAUGCUGAAAUCACAUAAUCAAUUGAAUGGCAGAGAGUGACAACUUUGCUUCCUGGUGGAAUAAAAUUAUCAUCGGGUCACAUGCAUAAGGUGUAUAUGAAA